GAGACGGAUGGACACCAAAACCACUGUGUGCUGUCUCAGAGAAAUGUGGACCACCACCAGAUGUAAACGAUGCAGAUACAACAGAAUUGAAAAAA